rnacentral:rRNA from 1 species
CCUACGGGUGGCAGCAGUAGGGAAUAUUGCUCAAUGGGGGAAACCCUGAAGCAGCAACGCCGCGUGGAGGAUGAAGGUUUUCGGCUUGUAAACUCCUUUUGUUAGAGAAGAUAAUGACGGUAUCUAACGAAUAAGCACCGGCUAACUCCGUGCCAGCAGCCGCGGUAAUACGGAGGGUGCAAGCGUUACUCGGAAUCACUGGGCGUAAAGAGCGCGUAGGCGGGAUAGCAAGUCAGAUGGGAAAUCCUAGGGCUUAACCAUAGAACUGCAUUUGACACUGUUAGUCUAGAGUAUGGGAGAGGUAGGUGGAAUUCGUGGUGUAGGGGUAAAAUCCGUAGAGAUCAAGAGGAAUACUCAUUGCGAAGGCGACCUGCUAGAACAUAACUGACGCUGAUGCGCGAAAGCGUGGGGAGCAAACAGGAUUAGAUACCCCUGUAGUC